rnacentral:rRNA from 1 species
GAUGAACGCUGGCGGCGUGCCUAAUACAUGCAAGUCGAGCGAACAGACGAGGAGCUUGCUCCUCUGAUGUUAGCGGCGGACGGGUGAGUAACACGUGGAUAACCUACCUAUAAGACUGGGAUAACUUCGGGAAACCGGAGCUAAUACCGGAUAACAUGUUGAACCGCAUGGUUCAACAGUGAAAGACGGUCUUGCUGUCACUUAUAGAUGGAUCCGCGCCGCAUUAGCUAGUUGGUAAGGUAACGGCUUACCAAGGCAACGAUGCGUAGCCGACCUGAGAGGGUGAUCGGCCACACUGGAACUGAGACACGGUCCAGACUCCUACGGGAGGCAGCAGUAGGGAAUCUUCCGCAAUGGGCGAAAGCCUGACGGAGCAACGCCGCGUGAGUGAAGAAGGUCUUCGGAUCGUAAAACUCUGUUAUUAGGGAAGAACAAAUGUGUAAGUAACUGUGCACGUCUUGACGGUACCUAAUCAGAAAGCCACGGCUAACUACGUG